rnacentral:rRNA from 1 species
UACGUAGGGUGCAAGCGUUAAUCGGAAUUACUGGGCGUAAAGCGUGCGCAGGCGGUUUUGUAAGUCUGACGUGAAAGCCCCGGGCUCAACCUGGGAAUUGCAUUCGAGACUGAAUAGCUAGGGUACGGUAGAGGGAAGUGGAAUUUCCGGUGUAGCGGUGAAAUGCGUAGAUAUCGGAAGGAACAUCAGUGGCGAAAGCGACUUCCUGGACCAGUACCGACGUUCAGGCACGAAAGCGUGGGGAGCAAACAGG